GAAGUUGUGCAGUAGCAGUAUCGUAGCCGAUGAGGUUUACUCGAGGCGCGAUUAUUGCUUAUUGAAAACUUUCCCGAGAAUCUCCCGCAAACUGAUGGUGCUACCUCCCUGAAAUGAGUUUUUGCAGGCUGGGAUGUCUG